UACGGAGGAUGCGAGCGUUAUCCGGAUUUAUUGGGUUUAAAGGGUGCGUAGGCGGUUUUUUAAGUUAGUGGUUAAACGUCGGGGCUUCACCUUGAUUUGCCAUUAAUACUGUAAGACUCGAGUUCAGACGAGGUAGGCGGAAUAAGUUAAGUAGCGGUGAAAUGCUUAGAUAUCACGAAGAACCCCGAUUGCGAAGGCAGCCUGCCGCAGCGUUACUGACGCUGAAGCUCGAAAGCGCGGGUAUCGAACAGG
rnacentral:rRNA from 1 species